CACGAACGCUGGCGGCAGGCUUAACACAUGCAAGUCGAGCGCCCCGCAAGGGGAGCGGCAGACGGGUGAGUAACGCGUGGGAAUCUACCCAUCUCUACGGAAUAACGCAUGGAAACGUGUGCUAAUACCGUAUACGUCCUUCGGGAGAAAGAUUUAUCGGAGAUGGAUGAGCCCGCGUUGGAUUAGCUAGUUGGUGGGGUAAAGGCCUACCAAGGCGACGAUCCAUAGCUGGUCUGAGAGGAUGAUCAGCCACACUGGGACUGAGACACGGCCCAGACUCCUACGGGAGGCAGCAGGGGGAAAUAUUGGACAAUGGGCGCAAGCCUGAUCCAGCCAUGCCGCGGGAGUGAUGAAGGCCCUAGGGUUGUAAAGCUCUUUCACCGGUGAAGAUAAUGACGGUAACCGGAGAGGAAGCCCCGGCUAACUUCGUGCCAGCAGCCGCCGUAA
rnacentral:rRNA from 1 species